rnacentral:lncRNA from 1 species
AUCAGCUGGUUGCCAAUCUUAACUUUUAGUCAUUAAGGAGAAUUUUCAAGACAAAAUCCCAAUUCAGCUGCUUACUAGGAGUGCGGCCCAGGCUCAAGGCUGCUUUCUACCAUCUUAGAAGCAGAAAAAAACCUCAAACUUGCCUUUCCUCUUGGAAGCAAGCUGAAAAUCCAGAAAGGAGUUGCCUGCACUCCAUCAACAUGGAAACAGAAAAACUCACUUUCCUUGUUGGACGUGAGCGAAACUCCAGAAAAGGAGUUGUACAGCAAGAUAAACCUUAGGUCUCAACCAAAUUUGGGGAGAUCAGGGAUUCUCUGGAGAGGAAAUCUCUGCACCUCAGCAAAUUGUCCCAUUGGUUUGAGCAAUAAAGAUAGUUCAAGCUGGUACCAAGCAUUGAUAGAUUUGUUAAAGGUCAGGGCCACCUCCAUUCAGAGUUCCCCGUGUUGGUCACCAAUUUGUAAACCAAAAUGUAUCUGAGACAGCGAGAUUGUCCCACUGCACUCUAGCCUGGGCAUGACAGAGCGAGACUCCGUCUCAAAAACAGACAGACAAACAAAGAAAAACCCUCUAGAAGGUAGAGCUAAGACCACAGGAAACAAUGUGCUAGUGGUGGGGUGGGGGUGGGGGGUACCAUGGGUCAGGAUUGAGGCCUAAUCAAGGAACAUUCCCACCCUGGUUGAGAGGAC